rnacentral:tRNA from 1 species
AUUAGUAUGGCAGAAUAAUAUGCAUAGAAUUUAAAAUUCUAAUAUAAAUUAAAUUUUUAUUAAUAAUAA